rnacentral:rRNA from 1 species
UGGGGAAUAUUGGACAAUGGGCGAAAGCCUGAUCCAGCCAUUCCGCGUGUGUGAAGAAGGUCUUUGGAUUGUAAAGCAUUUUAAGUUGGGAGGAAGGGCAGUAAGCGAAUACCUUGCUGUUUUGACGUUACCGACAGAAUAAGCACCGGCUAACUCUGUGCCAGCAGCCGCGGUAAUACAGAGGGUGCGAGCGUUAAUCGGAUUUACUGGGCGUAAGGCGUGCGUAGGCGGCUAAUUGAGUCGGAUGUGAAAUCCCCGAGCUUAACUUGGUAAUUGCAUUCGAUACUGGUUAGCUAGAGUGUGGGGGAGGAUGGUAGAGUUCCAGGUGUAGCGGUGAAAUGCGUAGAGAGCUGGAGGAAUACCGAUGACGAAGGCAGCCAUCUGGCCUAACACUGACGCUGAGGUACGAAAGAAUGGAGAGCAAACAGG